GCUUGCACUCCUCUGAUGUUAGCGGCGGACGGGUGAGUUAACACGUGGGUUAACCUACCUAUAAGACUGGGAUAACUUCGGGAAACCGGAGCUAAUACCGGAUAAUAUUUAGCUUCGCAUGAAGCAAUAGUGAAAGACGGUUCUGCUGUCACUUAUAGAUGGACCCGCGGUGUAUUAGCUAGUUGGUGAGGUAACGGCUCACCAAGGCAACGAUACAUAGCCGACCUGAGAGGGUGAUCGGCCACACUGGGACUGAGACACGGCCCAGACUCCUACGGGAGGCAGCAGUAGGGAAUCUUCCGCAAUGGACGAAAGUCUGACGGAGCAACGCCGCGUGAGUGAAGAAGGUUUUCGGAUCGUAAAACUCUGUUGUAAGGGAAGAACAAGUACGUUAGUAACUGAACGUACCUUGACGGUACCUUACCAGAAAGCCACGGCUAACUACGUGCCAGCAGCCGCGGUAAUACGUAGGUGGCAAGCGUUAUCCGGAAUUAUUGGGCGUAAAGCGCGCGUAGGCGGUCUCUUAAGUCUGAUGUGAAAGCCCCCGGCUCAACCGGGGAGGGUCAUUGGAAACUGGGAGACUUGAGUGCAGAAGAGGAGAGUGGAAUUCCAUGUGUAGCGGUGAAAUGCGCAGAGAUAUGGAGGAACACCAGUGGCGAAGGCGGCUCUCUGGUCUGUAACUGACGCUGAGGUGCGAAAGCGUGGGGAUCAAACAGGAUUAGAUACUCUGGUAGUCCACGCCGUACACGAUGAGUGCUAAGUGUUGGGGGGUUUCCGCCCCUCAGUGCUGCAGCUAACGCAUUAAGCACUCCGCCUGGGGAGUACGGUCGCGAGACUGAAACUCACAGGAAUUGACGGGGACGCGCACAAGCAGUGGAGCAUGUGGUUUAUUUUAAGCAACGCGAAGACCGUUACCAAUUCUUGACAUCUGUUGUCCAUUCGAGAGAUAGAGAUAUCGACUUCGCGCUACAGGUGACAAGUGGCGCGUGGUGCCGUCAUCUCAUCACCUGAGAUCUUGGGAAAGUUGGGUUAACUCCCGCAACGAUCGCAUCCUU
rnacentral:rRNA from 1 species